rnacentral:rRNA from 1 species
AACGAACGCUGGCGGCAUGCCUAACACAUGCAAGUCGAACGAGACCUUCGUGUCUAGUGGCGCACGGGUGCGUAACGCGUGGGAACCUGCCCUUAGGUUCGGAAUAACUCCCCGAAAGGGGUGCUAAUACCGGAUAAUGUCUUCGGACCAAAGAUUUAUCGCCUUUGGAUGGGCCCGCGUUGGAUUAGCUAGUUGGUAGGGUAAAAGCCUACCAAGGCGACGAUCCAUAGCUGGUCUGUGAGGAUGAUCAGCCACACUGGGACUGAGACACGGCCCAGACUCCUACGGGAGGCAGCAGUGGGGAAUAUUGGACAAUGGGCGAAAGCCUGAUCCAGCAAUGCCGCGUGAGUGAUGAAGGCCUUAGGGUUGUAAAGCUCUUUUACCCGGGAUGAUAAUGACAGUACCGGGAGAAUAAGCUCCGGCUAACUCCGUG